rnacentral:rRNA from 2 species
CCUAAAGUGUAACGGAGGCGCCCAAAGGUUCCCUCAGAAUGGUUGGAAAUCAUUCGUAGAGUGCAAAGGCAUAAGGGAGCUUGACUGCGAGACCUACAAGUCGAGCAGGGACGAAAGUCGGGCUUAGUGAUCCGGUGGUUCCGCAUGGAAGGGCCAUCGCUCAACGGAUAAAAGCUACCCCGGGGAUAACAGGCUUAUCUCCCCCAAGAGUCCACAUCGACGGGGAGGUUUGGCACCUCGAUGUCGGCUCAUCGCAUCCUGGGGCUGUAGUCGGUCCCAAGGGUUGGGCUGUUCGCCCAUUAAAGCGGUACGCGAGCUGGGUUCAGAACGUCGUGAGACAGUUCGGUCCCUAUCCGUCGUGGGCGUAGGAAAUUUGAGAGGAGCUGUCCUUAGUACGAGAGGACCGGGAUGGACGCACCGCUGGUGUACCAGUUGUUCUGCCAAGGGCAUAGCUGGGUAGCUAUGUGCGGAAGGGAUAAGUGCUGAAAGCAUCUAAGCAUGAAGCCCCCCUCAAGAUGAGAUUUCCCAUAGCGUAAGCUAGUAAGAUCCCUGAAAGAUGAUCAGGUUGAUAGGUUCGAGGUGGAAGCAUGGUGACAUGUGGAGCUGACGAAUACUAAUAGAUCGAGGACUUAACCAUAUAA